GCAGCUUGCUGGACUGUAACUGACGCUGAGNCACGAAAGCGUGGGGAUCAAACAGGAUUAGNUACCNNGGUANNCCACNNNNUAAACGAUGAAUGCUAGCUGUUAGCGAUAUACUGUUAGCGGCACAGAGAAAUCGUUAAGCAUUCCACCUGGGGAGUACGCCGGCAACGGUGAAACUCAAAGGAAUUGACGGGGGCCCGCACAAGCGGAGGAACAUGUGGUUUAAUUCGAUGAUACGCGAGGAACCUUACCUGGGCUUAAAUUGCAGUGGAAUAACGUGGAAACAUGUUAGCCUUCGGGCCGCUGUGAAGGUGCUGCAUGGUUGUCGUCAGCUCGUGCCGUGAGGUGUCGGCUUAAGUGCCAUAACGAGCGCAACCCUCAUCGAUAGUUACUAACAGGUUAAGCUGAGGACUCUAUCGAGACUGCCGACGUAAGUCGUGAGGAAGGUGGGGAUGACGUCAAAUCAGCACGGCCCUUACGUCCAGGGCUACACACGUGUUACAAUGGGGGGUACAAAGGGCAGCUACCUGGCGACAGGAUGCUAAUCUCAAAAACCUCUCUCAGUUCGGAUUGGAGUCUGCAACCCGACUCCAUGAAGCUGGAUUCGCUAGUAAUCGCGCAUCAGCCACGGCGCGGUGAAUACGUUCCCGGGCCUUGUACACACCGCCCGUCAAGCCAUGGGAGCCGGGGGGACCUGAAGUAUGCAACCGUAAGGAGCGUCCUAGGGUAAAACUGGUGACUGGGGCU
rnacentral:rRNA from 1 species